rnacentral:rRNA from 1 species
GGGUUGUGAGGUUAAGCGACUAAGCGUACACGGUGGAUGCCCUGGCAGUCAGAGGCGAUGAAGGACGUGCUAAUCUGCGAUAAGCGUCGGUAAGGUGAUAUGAACCGUUAUAACCGGCGAUUUCCGAAUGGGGAAACCCAGUGUGAUUCGACACACUAUCAUUAACUGAAUCCAUAGGUUAAUGAGGCGAACCGGGGGAACUGAAACAUCUAAGUACCCCGAGGAAAAGAAAUCAACCGAGAUUCCCCCAGUAGCGGCGAGCGAACGGGGAGCAGCCCAGAGCCUGAAUCAGUGUGUGUGUUAGUGGAAGCGUCUGGAAAGGCGCGCGAUACAGGGUGACAGCCCCGUACACAAAAAUGCACAUGCUGUGAGCUCGAUGAGUAGGGCGGGACACGUGGUAUCCUGUCUGAAUAUGGGGGGACCAUCCUCCAAGGCUAAAUACUCCUGACUGACCGAUAGUGAACCAGUACCGUGAGGGAAAGGCGAAAAGAACCCCAGCGAGGGGAGUGAAAAAGAACCUGAAACCGUGUACGUACAAGCAGUGGGAGCCUCUUUUAUGGGGUGACUGCGUACCUUUUGUAUAAUGGGUCAGCGACUUAUAUUCUGUAGCAAGGUUAACCGAAUAGGGGAGCCGAAGGGAAACCGAGUCUUAACUGGGCGUUAAGUUGCAGGGUAUAGACCCGAAACCCGGUGAUCUAGCCAUGGGCAGGUUGAAGGUUGGGUAACACUAACUGGAGGACCGAACCGACUAAUGUUGAAAAAUUAGCGGAUGACUUGUGGCUGGGGGUGAAAGGCCAAUCAAACCGGGAGAUAGCUGGUUCUCCCCGAAAGCUAUUUAGGUAGCGCCUCGUGAAUUCAUCUCCGGGGGUAGAGCACUGUUUCGGCAAGGGGGUCAUCCCGACUUACCAACCCGAUGCAAACUGCGAAUACCGGAGAAUGUUAUCACGGGAGACACACGGCGGGUGCUAACGUCCGUCGUGAAGAGGGAAACAACCCAGACCGCCAGCUAAGGUCCCAAAGUCAUGGUUAAGUGGGAAACGAUGUGGGAAGGCCCAGACAGCCAGGAUGUUGGCUUAGAAGCAGCCAUCAUUUAAAGAAAGCGUAAUAGCUCACUGGUCGAGUCGGCCUGCGCGGAAGAUGUAACGGGGCUAAACCAUGCACCGAAGCUGCGGCAGCGACGCUUAUGCGUUGUUGGGUAGGGGAGCGUUCUGUAAGCCUGUGAAGGUGUGCUGUGAGGCAUGCUGGAGGUAUCAGAAGUGCGAAUGCUGACAUAAGUAACGAUAAAGCGGGUGAAAAGCCCGCUCGCCGGAAGACCAAGGGUUCCUGUCCAACGUUAAUCGGGGCAGGGUGAGUCGACCCCUAAGGCGAGGCCGAAAGGCGUAGUCGAUGGGAAACAGGUUAAUAUUCCUGUACUUGGUGUUACUGCGAAGGGGGGACGGAGAAGGCUAUGUUGGCCGGGCGACGGUUGUCCCGGUUUAAGCGUGUAGGCUGGUUUUCCAGGCAAAUCCGGAAAAUCAAGGCUGAGGCGUGAUGACGAGGCACUACGGUGCUGAAGCAACAAAUGCCCUGCUUCCAGGAAAAGCCUCUAAGCAUCAGGUAACAUCAAAUCGUACCCCAAACCGACACAGGUGGUCAGGUAGAGAAUACCAAGGCGCUUGAGAGAACUCGGGUGAAGGAACUAGGCAAAAUGGUGCCGUAACUUCGGGAGAAGGCACGCUGAUAUGUAGGUGAAGCGACUUGCUCGUGGAGCUGAAAUCAGUCGAAGAUACCAGCUGGCUGCAACUGUUUAUUAAAAACACAGCACUGUGCAAACACGAAAGUGGACGUAUACGGUGUGACGCCUGCCCGGUGCCGGAAGGUUAAUUGAUGGGGUCAGCGCAAGCGAAGCUCUUGAUCGAAGCCCCGGUAAACGGCGGCCGUAACUAUAACGGUCCUAAGGUAGCGAAAUUCCUUGUCGGGUAAGUUCCGACCUGCACGAAUGGCGUAAUGAUGGCCAGGCUGUCUCCACCCGAGACUCAGUGAAAUUGAACUCGCUGUGAAGAUGCAGUGUACCCGCGGCAAGACGGAAAGACCCCGUGAACCUUUACUAUAGCUUGACACUGAACAUUGAGCCUUGAUGUGUAGGAUAGGUGGGAGGCUUUGAAGUGUGGACGCCAGUCUGCAUGGAGCCGACCUUGAAAUACCACCCUUUAAUGUUUGAUGUUCUAACGUUGACCCGUAAUCCGGGUUGCGGACAGUGUCUGGUGGGUAGUUUGACUGGGGCGGUCUCCUCCUAAAGAGUAACGGAGGAGCACGAAGGUUGGCUAAUCCUGGUCGGACAUCAGGAGGUUAGUGCAAUGGCAUAAGCCAGCUUGACUGCGAGCGUGACGGCGCGAGCAGGUGCGAAAGCAGGUCAUAGUGAUCCGGUGGUUCUGAAUGGAAGGGCCAUCGCUCAACGGAUAAAAGGUACUCCGGGGAUAACAGGCUGAUACCGCCCAAGAGUUCAUAUCGACGGCGGUGUUUGGCACCUCGAUGUCGGCUCAUCACAUCCUGGGGCUGAAGUAGGUCCCAAGGGUAUGGCUGUUCGCCAUUUAAAGUGGUACGCGAGCUGGGUUUAGAACGUCGUGAGACAGUUCGGUCCCUAUCUGCCGUGGGCGCUGGAGAACUGAGGGGGGCUGCUCCUAGUACGAGAGGACCGGAGUGGACGCAUCACUGGUGUUCGGGUUGUCAUGCCAAUGGCACUGCCCGGUAGCUAAAUGCGGAAGAGAUAAGUGCUGAAAGCAUCUAAGCACGAAACUUGCCCCGAGAUGAGUUCUCCCUGACCCUUUAAGGGUCCUGAAGGAACGUUGAAGACGACGACGUUGAUAGGUCGGGUGUGUAAGCGCAGCGAUGCGUUGAGCUAACCGGUACUAAUGAACCGUGAGGCUUAACCUUACAACGCCGAAG